rnacentral:rRNA from 1 species
UACAGAGGGUGCGAGCGUUAAUCGGAAUUACUGGGCGUAAAGGGCGCGUAGGCGGGUUAGUAAGUUAGUUGUGAAAUCCCUGGGCUUAACCUAGGAACUGCAACUAAUACUGUUAAUCUAGAGUGCGGUAGAGGGUAGUGGAAUUUCCGGUGUAGCGGUGAAAUGCGUAGAUAUCGGAAGGAACACCAGUGGCGAAGGCGGCUACCUGGACUGACACUGACGCUGAGGCGCGAAAGCGUGGGGAGCAAACAGG